GAUGAACGCUGGCGGCGUGCCUAAUACAUGCAAGUCGAGCGGACGGACGAGGAGCUUGCUUCUCUGAUGUUAGCGGCGGACGGGUGAGUAACACGUGGAUAACCUACCUAUAAGACUGGGAUAACUUCGGGAAACCGUAGCUAAUACCGGAUAAUCUUUUGAACCGCAUGGUUCGAAAGUGAAAGACGGUCUUGCUGUCACUUAUCGAUGGAUCCGCGCUGCAUUAGCUAGUUGGUAAGGUAACGGCUUACCAAGGCAACGAUGCAUAGCCGAACUGAGGGGGUGAUAGGCCACACUGGAACGUAGACACGGUCCAGGCGCCUACGGGACGCAGCAGUAGGGAAUCUUCCGCAGUGGGCGAAAGCCUUGCGGAGCAGCGCCGCGUGAGUGAUGAAGGUCUUCGGAUCGUAAAACUCUGUUAUUAGGGAAGAACAGAUGUGUAAGUAACUGUGCACAUCUUGACGGUACCUAAUAAGAAAGCCACGGCUAACUACGUG
rnacentral:rRNA from 1 species